GUCCUUCUAUACCCUUUCCCGUCAGAUCUGAACAUUGGUCUUGGUGGUGGUAAAAGGAGGAAAACUAAUACUGAAGCUGGCCUCAAUGUUGUAAUCUGGUAUAUGGCAUGUGGCUAGUUUCAAACAGGG
ensembl:snoRNA